AGAGUUUGAUCAUGGCUCAGAACGAACGCUGGCGGCAUGCCCAACACAUGCAAGUCGAACGGAAAGGCCCUUCGGGGUACUCGAGUGGCGAACGGGUGAGUAACACGUGGGUGAUCUGCCCUGCACUUUGGGAUAAGCCUGGGAAACUGGGUCUAAUACCGAAUAUGACCAUGCACUUCCUGGUGUGUGGUGGAAAGCUUUUGCGGUGUGGGAUGGGCCCGCGGCCUAUCAGCUUGUUGGUGGGGUAAUGGCCUACCAAGGCGACGACGGGUAGCCGGCCUGAGAGGGUGACCGGCCACACUGGGACUGAGAUACGGCCCAGACUCCUACGGGAGGCAGCAGUGGGGAAUAUUGCACAAUGGGCGCAAGCCUGAUGCAGCGACGCCGCGUGAGGGAUGACGGCCUUCGGGUUGUAAACCUCUUUCAGCACAGACGAAGCGCAAGUGACGGUAUGUGCAGAAGAAGGACCGGCCAACUACGUGCCAGCAGCCGCGGUAAUACGUAGGGUCCGAGCGUUGUCCGGAAUUACUGGGCGUAAAGAGCUCGUAGGUGGUUUGUCGCGUUGUUCGUGAAAACUCACAGCUUAACUGUGGGCGUGCGGGCGAUACGGGCAGACUUGAGUACUGCAGGGGAGACUGGAAUUCCUGGUGUAGCGGUAGAAUGCGCAGAUAUCAGGAGGAACACCGGUGGCGAAGGCGGGUCUCUGGGCAGUAACUGACGCUGAGGAGCGAAAGCGUGGGGAGCGAACAGGAUUAGAUACCCUGGUAGUCC
rnacentral:rRNA from 1 species